rnacentral:rRNA from 1 species
AGAUUGAACGCUGGCGGCAUGCCUUACACAUGCAAGUCGAACGGUAGAGUAGCAAUACUCGAGAGUGGCGAACGGGUGAGUAAUAUAUCGGAACGUGCCCAGUCGUGGGGGAUAACGUAGAGAAAUUUACGCUAAUACCGCAUACGAUCUAAGGAUGAAAGCGGGGGACUCGCAAGAGCCUCGCGCGAUUGGAGCGGCUGGAUAAGUCAGAUUAGGUUGUUGGUGAGGUAAAAGCUCACCAAGCCGACGAUCUGUAGCUGGUUUGAGAGAACGACCAGCCACACUGGGACUGAGACACGGCCCAGACUCCUACGGGA